AUGGAGUGCCUCCAAAACUUCAAAUCUUAGGUUUGGUUAGUGUUGUUGUAUUAUUAUGAUUUGGUUUGGAUUCUAUUUGAUUUUUUUUUUUGUUAAUAUCAAAUCAAAUUAAUAAUAAUGAUGGAUUUUUUUUUUUGAAGUUAAAAUUCGACUUAAUUCAUCUAUUUAGUUUCUUCCCGGCUCCAUGCUUUUCUAGUUACCUCCUCUCUGUAAGUUCCUUCCUUCUCUCUCUUUUCUCUUCAUUGAUUGCUGAAAGAGUCGGGAUUUGAAGUUUAUGGGUUCUUCGUUUUUAAGUUAAUGAAUUCGAAAUUACAUAAUCAAUGUAUAACCUACUGGUUCGGCCGAAACCGUAGACCCUAUGAGUUGGUACAGUUUGAGUGUUAACGUUGAUGAUAUUUGGGGAUAAUCCGCGAAGAAUGAUAACUUUCUAUGGAUUUUGAAAGUGGGUUUUUUUAAUCAUGAAGAAUGAACUACUUUCUAGCCUUGUCCGAAAAUUACAAAAUCCAACAGUUUUUGCUGCUGAUUACCAAAUCUUGGCAAAUGUACUCAAAUGUUGUGCUACCAUAUCAGAUGGAGUGUUGGGGAAAGCUUUACAUAGUUCUGUUAUUAAGUUAGGUCAUCAUUCUUGUCAAUUUGUUAUAAAAGCUUUGCUUAAUAUGUAUGCUAAAUGUAAAGAUCUUGAUGAAUGUCAAAAACUUUUCGGUAGGAUUAAAUGUAGUGAUAUAGUGAUAUGGAAUAUUAUGUUGUCUGGCUUUGCUUGUUCGCCAUUACAUGUAAUGGAGAUGGAAAGGUUGUUUAAUUCAAUGCAAAGAGCACAUUAUCCUAAGCCAAGUUCUGUUACUCUUGCUAUUGUUAUUCCUGUGAUUGCUCGCUCUGGAGCUUUGGGUGCUGGAAAAAGUGUUCAUUGUUAUGCGGUGAAGCAUGGGUUGGAUUGUAAGACGCUGGUAGGAAAUGCUUUUGUAUCCAUGUAUGCGAAAUCUGGGAAUGUUUUAGAUGCGGAAGCUACUUUUUGUGGAAUUUAUGACAAAGAUGUUGUUUCAUGGAAUGCAAUGAUUGCAGGUUUGAUAGCGAAUAAGCUUACAAAUAGGGCGUUUGAAUUGUUUAGGUUGAUGUUGAGAGGUUCUGUUCUACCUAAUUAUGCGACAAUUGCUAAUAUUAUUCCUACCUAUCCUAGUUUAGGAGGGAUAGAUGGUUACCACUUGGGAAGGCAGAUGCAUUGUUAUGUUUUGCGACGGGCUGAGUUGUUGUCAGAAGCUACUGUUAUCAAUGCUCUUUUGAGCUGCUACUUGAGGGUUGGGAAUUUUGAAGGAGCAGAGACUUUGUUCCGGAAUAUGAAAAGUAAAGAUCUGGUAUCGUGGAACUCAAUAAUUGCUGGCUAUGCAGCAAAUGGUAAAUGGUUGAAGACACUGGAGUUUUUCCGUAAAUUCACUAAAGAGGAGAUGAGUGGACCAGACUCUGUUACUCUUAUGAGCAUUCUUCCAGUAUGUCCACAGCUCAAUAAUGUUUUGAUCGGGAAGCAGAUCCAUGGGUAUGUAAUUCGUCAUAGUUUCCUCCAUCGGGAUAUCUCUGUGAUUAAUGCCCUUAUAAGCUUUUAUGCAAAAUGUGGAAACAUCAAAGAGGCAUGUCACAUAUUUUCAUUGACUUCUAAUAAAGACUUGAUAUCAUGGAACGCUAUGCUUGAUGCUUUAGCAGAAAACCAACUUCACGAAGAAUUUAUAUUCUUGUUAAAGGAUAUGUUUAGAGAGGGGAUGAAAGCUGACUCCAUCACAUUAUUGGCUGUGGUGCGCUAUUUUGCUAACAUUUCCAGAAUGGAUAAGGUUAAAGAAGCACAUGGUUUUUCAGUAAGAUCUGGUAUCUUGUUAAGAUAUAAUGAUCCUACUCUCGCUAAUGCCUUACUUGAUGCAUAUGCGAAGUGUUGCAAUUUGAAAUAUGCAAACAGAAUAUUUGAGAGCUUAUCAGGAAGCAAGAAUGUAAUCACAUGCAACUCAAUGAUCUCAGGGUUUGUGAAUUAUGGUCUGCAUGAAGAUGCACAUGGCAUAUUCAAGAGGAUGACCGAGAGGGAUCUUACCUCGUGGAAUCUGAUGGUGAAAGCUUAUGCUGAAAAUGAUUGUCCUGAUCAAGCAGUGAGUCUGUUUACCGAGUUACAGCAUCACAAAAUGAGGCCUGAUGCCAUGUCCAUUUUGAGCCUCCUUCCAGUUUGUGCUCAAAUGGCCUCAAGCAACUUGCUAAAGCAGUGCCAUGCAUAUGUGAUGAAGGCUUUUCUAGAUGAUGUUUAUCUGAUUGGGGCUCUCAUAGAUGUUUAUUCUAAAUGUGCUACUCUAGGAUAUGCAUACAAGCUUUUCCAAUCAUAUCCUGUCAAAGAUCUUGUAAUGUUUACUGCAAUGGUUGGAGGGUAUGCUAUGCAUGGAAUGGGAGUAGAAGCACUUGGGAUAUUCUAUCAUAUGCUUGAGCUGGACUUUAAACCAGAUCAUGUUAUAAUAACUACAGUGCUAUCUGCUUGUAGUCAUGCUGGCCUUGUGGAUGAAGGGUUAAAGAUCUUUGAUUCAAUGGAAAAGAUGCAUCAAAUCAAACCUAGCAUGGAGCAUUAUGCCUGUGUGGUGGAUCUACUUGCACGUGGAGGUGGAAUUAAAGAUGCAUUUUCCUUUGUGACCCAGAUGCCCUUUCAAGCUGAUGCGGAUAUAUGGGGAACACUUCUGGGUGCCUGUAAAAUCCAUCAGGAGGUUGAUAUGGCCUGUGCUGCGGCAGAUCACCUGUUUCAUGUUAAUGCUAAUGAUAUCGGGAAUUAUAUAGUCAUGUCAAAUCUGUAUGCUGCAAAUGCUAGAUGGGAUGACGUCUUAGAGAUAAGAAGGUCUAUGAAAAUGAGAGAUCUUAAGAAGCCAGUUGGUUGCAGUUGGAUUGAAGUGGAAAGGAAGAAAAGUGUAUUUGCUGCUGGUGACUAUUCUCACCGACAGAGAAGACUGAUAUAUGAAACAUUAAUAGUCUUAGAUGAACAAAUCAAAGAGCUAUAUGAGUAUGACUUAUAGCUCGUAAUAUUUUGCUCAUGUGAAGUAACACUGAGCUACUGUAUCACUACAUUAUGUAAGAAAGUGGUCCAUCUUUGUUUGCAGUUUUUGAUAUUUGUAUGGUGGAAUUUCUUUUCAUUGUCCAAUAGGCAUCCCUUAAUUUAGAAAGUCUGAUAUGCAUAGAGAUUUUCUCAAAGUUUUGGCCAGCUAUGUUAACAUUUUAUACUAAUGCAAACUGCAGAUCAGUUCGGUACACUGUUCUUCCCAGAGAGGUCAAAGCGUGACAUUGGCAUGCAAGUGUCUUCUCACUGGUUGAGCAUUUAUACUCUUUUCAUUUUUUUAAAGGAGAAUCUGAUCUCACCAACGUAGCUCCAGUGUCCAAUGGAGAAGACGAUUCGUUUGUAGCAGUUUGAGAUUGAAAACUAUGCAUUUCACAUACCAAAGCUACUGAGUUGGUAGAACCCUGUUUCUACUAAGAUCAUACUUACGAACUGUCUCCAAAAGGUAGCCUUUCAAGAUACUUUAUUUUGACCUCUUGAUAGAGGCAAAGUUUAAUUCUGGAAGGAGCUAUAGUCAUGAUACUGGGACCGGCGUUCCUCCUUAUUCUCCUCCACGUGGCUAGUAGGGAUCGUUGAAGGCUACUAUUGGAAAAUAUUGGUGUGAAAGGUAGCUUGUCUUAUGAGGAGAUUCCGGUUCAAAUCCUUGAUCGUCAGGUUCCCAAGUUGAGGACCAAAGCGGUCGCUUCAGUCAAAGUGUUGUGAAGGAAUCAAUUUGCUGAAGAGGCUACAUGGGAUGCCGAAGAAGAUAUGAAAGCUAAAUACCCGCAUCUAUUCGUUCCUCCUAGUGUUGAUGUUGAAGAUUGAAAACUAUGCAUUUCAUAUACAAAAGCUACCUAGUUGUGGUAUCAUUUAUCUAAACAAGAACAGAAAUUUGAUGGCAGGUGAAGGUGCAUUGACGACAUGGAGCAACAUCUAAAUUAGCAAAGCUGCCUCCUGGUUUCGAGUCUAAUCUGAAGUAAUCUUCACUGAGUUUGGCAGAUGGACAUGUGAAGAAUAAUAUUGAAGUCAAUGAUUUAUAUGCUUUCCACUUGUGGAAAAUGGGCAGAUUGAUCUGGCCAUGAGUGCAUUGGGACCUCCUAAUUUAUGUGUAUCAUAGUGAUUGAUGAAACUAUAUGCUUAUUUGUACCACAUAUAUUUCAAUUUAAUAGUAGACAUGCAACAAAGGAGACAAGGAGGAAAAACACAACAAUCAUUAGCUGUAUGUAUGAAAAAAUAUAUGCUCUAGUUAGGUAUAUAAUUGGUUAUCAAAUUACUGAAGUUUUAUCUG